UAGACAACGGUCCAAGGGCAGCAGUCCGUGUGGGCCAUCAACACCCACCCCGCUGGGGCUCAACCAGGUGGAGUUACUGAUCCGGCCCCUGAAUACUCCUUCUCUUCAAGCAGAUCGCCCACAACGAGGGCGGGCGGAGACUCACCCAUUCAACUAGAAGCGCUCCUCCCCCUAGCUGGGGGCAGCUCCUGAGCCUGACCCGGAGGCUGAACAACUCCAAAACCAAGGAACUCCGUAGACUCCGACAACAUUUGUGGCCGUCCUCGCUGUUUUGGCUUGUCAGCUCCAGAAAUCUAUAUUGAAACUUUGGCCAAAGCAUAAGUUGCACAUGCUGAGGGCAGGAGUCUACAAAUCUGGGCAAAGUACAACUACUGGAGAAGAAUGACUACUGAGGCACUUUGAGCUAAACAACCACUAGAAAUCACACAGGGCCAACAGAACAAGUGGAACGACCUUAUUUAAGAGCCUUAGAAUCCAAUAAAGAUCUAAUAGAUGCUAA